UUGAGACUUUGUAAACCAAGUCCAACAGUGAUAUUUUUCUGCAAGACUCCUCUGAGCAUCUCUGAGAAGGGGAUGGCAGGAUUCACCCACCGCUUUUAACCAUAGCAUCCUGUGUUUUUCAGAUUACCUCCUGGGACUUUUCAAAAAUGCCCCAAUUAAAGGAAAGCUCCAAGGGUCUAGCACUUAUCAUCCCAGGACAACUGAGAAGAAGAAAGAGAAGGAAAGAAGAGAAAAGAAAAGAACAACAACCUUCAAAUAAUAGAAUAAAUGGAAAUAUGAAAGAAAUACUGACGUGCCUGGCCUAUCUUGUCACACAUGGUUUUGAAGGAAGCCAGUUCUGUUUGGGAAAUGACAACAAGAUCACCUCGGGCUCCCUCUGCUGCUGUCCAACCUCCCUGGCCCUGUGAGAAGAGUAUUCUCCCUUGGGAUCCUGGACGUCCCACCUUUGAGAGAGAUUUACAUACACGGUAACGAA